UACGAAGGGGGCUAGCGUUGCUCGGAAUCACUGGGCGUAAAGCGCACGUAGGCGGAUUGCUAAGUCAGGGGUGAAAUCCUGGAGCUCAACUCCAGAACUGCCUUUGAUACUGGGGAUCUCGAGUCCGGAAGAGGUGAGUGGAACUCCGAGUGUAGAGGUGAAAUUCGUAGAUAUUCGGAAGAACACCAGUGGCGAAGGCGACAUACUGGCUCAUUACUGACGCUGAGGCUCGAAAGCGUGGGGAGCAAACAGG
rnacentral:rRNA from 1 species